GACGGAGGGUGCUAGCGUUGUUCGGAAUUACUGGGCGUAAAGGGCGCGUAGGCGGCCUGGUCAGUCGGAUGUGAAAGCUCGGAGCUCAACUCCGAAAUGGCAUUGGAAACUACCUUGCUCGAGGGUUGGAGGGGGGACUGGAAUUCUCGGUGUAGCAGUGAAAUGCGUAGAUAUCGAGAGGAACACCAGUGGCGAAGGCGAGUCCCUGGACAACUCCUGACACUGAGGCACGAAAGCUAGGGAGCAAACAGG
rnacentral:rRNA from 1 species